UUUAUCCUACGGGGGGCAGCAGCCGCGGUAAUACGGAAGGUCCGGGCGUUAUCCGGAUUUAUUGGGUUUAAAGGGAGCGUAGGCCGGUCUUUAAGCGUGCCGUGAAAUUUUGUGGCUCAACCAUGAGAGUGCGGCGCGAACUGGAGACCUUGAGUGCGCGGAAGGCAGGCGGAAUUCGUGGUGUAGCGGUGAAAUGCUUAGAUAUCACGAAGAACCCCGAUUGCGAAGGCAGCCUGCCGCAGCGUUACUGACGCUGAAGCUCGAAAGCGCGGGUAUCGAACAGGAUUAGAAACCCUGGUAGUCCU
rnacentral:rRNA from 1 species